GUACUUGCUUCAGCAGCACAUAUAUUAAAAUUGGAAUGAUACAGAGAAUAUUAGCAUGGCCCCUGCGCAAUGAUAACAGGCAAAUGUGUGAAGUGUUCCAUAUUAAA